rnacentral:rRNA from 1 species
UUAUAUGGAGAGUUUGAUCCUGGCUCAGGACGAACGCUGGCGGCGUGCCUAAUACAUGCAAGUCGAGCGGACGGAUGGGAGCUUGCUCCCAGACCGUCAGCGGCGGACGGGUGAGUAACACGUGGGCAACCUGCCUGUAAGACUGGGAUAACUCCGGGAAACCGGGGCUAAUACCGGAUAAUUCUUUUCCUCACAUGAGGAAAAGCUGAAAGAUGGCAUCUCGCUAUCACUUACAGAUGGGCCCGCGGCGCAUUAGCUAGUUGGUGAGGUAACGGCUCACCAAGGCGACGAUGCGUAGCCGACCUGAGAGGGUGAUCGGCCACACUGGGACUGAGACACGGCCCAGACUCCUACGGGAGGCAGC